GAUGAACGCUAGUGGCAGGCCUAAUACAUGCAAGUCGAACGGUGUCUUCGGACAUAGUGGCGCACGGGUGCGUAACACGUAUGCAACCUACCUUACAUUGGGGGAUAGCCUUUCGAAAGGGAGAUUAAUACCGCAUAAGACAGUAGCUGGGCAUCCAGCAGCUGUUAAAGAUUUAUCGAUGUAAGCUGGGCAUGCGUCCAAUUAGCCAGUUGGUGAGGUAACGGCUCACCAAGGCAAUGAUUGGUAGGGGAACUGAGAGGUCAAUCCCCCACACUGGCACUGAGAUACGGGCCAGACUCCUACGGGAGGCAGGAGUAGGGAAUAUUGGGCAAUGGACGCAAGUCUGACCCAGCCAUGCCGCGUGCAGGAUGAAGGCGUUAUGCGUUGUAAACUGCUUUUAUACAGGAAGAAACGACUCUUGCGAGAGGCAUUGACGGUACUGUAUGAAUAAGCACCGGCUAACUCCGUGCCAGCCGCCGCCGUAACAC
rnacentral:rRNA from 1 species